GCCGCUUUGGUGUAGUGGUAUCACGUUCGCCUCACACGCGAAAGGUCGGGAGUUCGAAACUCCCAGGCGGUA
rnacentral:tRNA from 1 species